UAGCUGGCAACUACUUGUCAGGACGUUUAGAUGUUUCUACCCUGGUUUUGAGGAGCACAUUCUCUCCAUGACCCUAAGACUCCCUUUGGCCUUCAAAGAGCCGGAUGCCUGAGAUGGCUAAAGAAACAAAAGAACAGGCAUGGCUGGAUAUCCACCACAAGGCCCAGCUCACAGCUCCUCAAUGUCCUCUGCCGUCUGAUAUGAUCCUCACAACCCUGGGUCAGGGGUUAGGAUCCUCAUUUGUGGAUAAGUAAGCUGAGUUUCUGAGAG